UUAACGGUUUCUAGGUUCUA
rnacentral:siRNA from 1 species